GAUGAACGCUGGCGGCGUGCCUAAUACAUGCAAGUCGAACGAAACGGCUUUAUCACCGAGGGCUGGCACUCACCGAAAAAGGGGUGAGUGGCGAACGGGUGAGUAACACGUGUGCAAGCUGCCCAAAAGAGGGGGAGAACACUAGGAAACAGGUGCUAAUACCGCAUAACCAUGGUUACCGCGUGGCAACGAUGGAAAAGGUGGCUGUAGUACCGCAGUUGGAUGGUGGGGGGGCGCAUUAGCUAGGCGGUCGGGUAAAGGCUUACUUAGGCAAUGAUGCGUAGACGAAUUGAGUGGUUGAUCGGCCACAUUGGGACUGGGCCACGGCCCAUGCUCCUACGGGACGCAGCAGUAGGGUAUGUUCCGCAGUGGGCGAAAGCCUGGUGGAGCGGCGCCGCGUCGGUGACGGAGGUCCUCCGAUCGUAAUGCCCUCUUGUUAGUGAUGAACGUCUGUCGGAGUUACUGUUCACGUUUUGACGGUAUCUAAUCAGAAAGCCCCGGCUAACUACGUG
rnacentral:rRNA from 1 species